UGAGUUUUGGCUUAGAGAGGUGGCAUUUUUGGGCUAUUUGAUUUCAAGAUCAGGUAUAGCUGUGGAUCCUAGGAAGAUCGAAGCUAUCAAGGAUUGGCCGAGGCCGACGAGUGUCACCGAGAUACGGAGCUUCAUUGGUUUGGCUGGCUACUACCGACGGUUUGUUGAGGGAUUUGCAAAGCUAUCCACUCCCCUCACGAGGCUCACGCAUAAAGGCACCAAGUUUGUCUGGAAUGAUGCGUGCGAAAGGAUCUUCCAAGAGUUGAAGCAAAGAUUGACGACCGCCCCUAUCCUAACCUUGCCGACUGCUGGAGCAGGGUAUGUGAUUUAUAGUGAUACUUCCUUUAAUGGAUUGGGCUGUGUCUUGAUGCAGGACGGGAAAGUGAUCGCGUAAAGUGCCUAUGGACUUAGACCUCAGUUGGAUAUUGAAACUAUUAUAGUGCCACAAGGAGGCUUGGAGACUUGUACCACUUGUGAAUAAUUAGGCUAAUGUCAUAAAAGAGCAUUGAGCUCGGAUUAAAUGAGAACCUAGUACUAAUGUCAUGAUUGGAAAUUAGAAGGUGAAAUGUGCUUAACUUAUAUCAAGCUUAGGUGUCAUAAAGAGGCACUAAGCAUAGUGAGUGUUGGAACAUCACAUUGUAAUAUAGAGCUAGAUCUUUGAGAUGCUAGUGGCUAUUGCCAUAUUAGAGACAUGAUGAUUGGAUACUUGCAACGAUGAUUAUGCUUGUUUGCCAUUUGUGCUCAUUCGCACAUGCUUGUGAGGGUCGCUCCCUAUAAGCCGGCACUCCGGAGUUGGCCUACGCGGCUUAUGGUCGCUCGUGCGAUAUCGAGAAACCUAUGGGGUCGGGAGGGAUAGACUCAUUCCUAGAGUGGGAAUACUGGAGUUACCACCGACACUUAGGCGGCACAAGCUGGACUACAAUAUGUAGGUCCUAGAACAUGUUGGAAACAAUGAUAUUUAAUUGGUAGAUGAUAAUCACUACUAGAUAGGAAUUAAUAGUUGGAUUACUAUGACAUGCUUAUAGCAUAGUGUGAGGCUUGUAGUAUACUCGAUAGUUUACUUAUUGUAUCAUUGUAUACUUGGUUGCCAUGAUAGAGCAUAAUCAUCAUAUAUUGAUAGAAUGGGACAUAUUACUUAUGCAUUGGACAUUCUUCUACAUGAAAGAGUAAAUGUACAACGCAUUGACAUCGUAAUGCUUACGGUUUAGUAGAUAUACAUGCUUUCUUAUCGCUGUUAUUACUAUCUUUUUAUUGCUUAUCGUACUUACCCUUUUCUUGUGAGGUCUAGUGGCGUAUUGAGCUGAGGUCAGUAAUUGCCCACUGGGAACAAUAAAUUAUAGUUGUCACGCCCUCUUUUUCUUGUUGUUAUUUCAGAGCCUUUGGCACCGGCGGAGGCACGGGAUCGCGGCAAAGGAGUCGCGUAGCUAGCUAGCUGAGAGCCCGUGUGAGCUUAGGUGGUUUACUCUUCUUUUGUAUUAGAGUGAGAGAUUUUGAGAACCAUGUAUAGAGAGACCACCUGUAUACUCUUGAUGUUUAGUUUUUGUAUCUGGGAUUUCCUUUGUUUUACUCUUUGGCUUUAUUAGUAGAUUUCAGUUUCAUGCUUACCCCUCUGUGUAGAACAUAGUUAUUUACUUCGCUCUGAUAUCGUUAGAUUCUUUUGCUUUCUUGCUUUAUUUUUCACUAUUGUUGUAAACGCCUUAUAUGUAGACAUAUGGCGGGUCUGGGCGUGCUAUCGGGAGGGCCCCUACCGGUCCCGUGGCGUGACAGGCUUUCCGUCGACGUUUCAUUAAAGGAUGCACCUUAUAGAGCUGAGAGAGCUCUUCUUGAAUUUUCAUUCCUUUUUCUCUCGUAGAUUUCAAUUGUUCCCCAAGUUGGAGUCAGCGUUCAGAAGUUUGUGCCAGAGUAGAUUCGGCUGCAGCCAAUUCUUCUUUGAGAGUGGUUAUGCGUUGCCGUAAAGCCGAUUCUUGAUUUGCCAGAGACUGAUCUUCACGGUUCACUUCAGCAAUGGGAGUCUCUACAUCAAUAAUAUUCCUUCUGAAAUGAUCAACACGAUGAAAAUGUUGAUCUAAAACUAUAAGCUCGGCACCCAGAGAUCGUUGCCGAGCCAAAUAAGAAGAAAGCUGAGAUGAUAGUGUUGCUACAAAACAUUGAAUAUUAGGAGUAAUGUCUGAUUGAUCGGCUAAAUCAAGCAAAAUGGCGUAUAGCCGAUCAAAUUGUUCUGGAUUUUGAGCUAGAUUAGGAACACCAGUGCUAUAUAUCUUAAGACACUCAUCAAAUUUGCUCUGAGUGUCCGAUGAUACAAUAAUGGUGGAAAAGUCAUCUCCCUCAUUAGAAUUGGGGCUCGAAACCAGUAAAGAAUGGAGAUUAACAGAUAAAGGAUCGUCAGAAACAAGAAGAGAAAUUCCCUAGGUCGAAUGAGGAGGAAUAGAAGGAGGUGAAGCGGCCUCACUUGGUAAUAGCGCCGGGCUUGCUGUUUCAAUAGAUUUUUUCUGUUUCUCUAUCCCUCGUUUCUUCUCAAGACAGGCUUCUCUGCGAAGUUGUCGUUCCAUCUGUGUCUUUGAGAAAUGAGGAAAAGGAGCUCUUUCAGAAGAGGACUGUGAGUUAAAAGAAAAAGAUAAAUAGAUGAAGAAAUAUAAAAUUUGCUUACUAACGACUAACUUGACGUACCCCGAUAUCAAUUGUUUCGGUCGGAACACAGCUUUGUUCAGUGGCUGAGGAAAGCACAGUAGUUUCCUCUAAUGGAACAUUAGCCGAAGGUAUAUCUUCGGUUCUUGUUUUUGGAAUCGAGGUCGAAGGCAUAUCUUCGGCUUUGUCUUCUAAAAUGUCAGCCGAAGGAGCAUCUUCGGCUUGUCGAAAUUGUUGUUUAGCAACUGAUUUACGCCGUUUUGAAGUCGGCGAAGGAGUAACUUGGACAGUUUCAAUCGGUCUCUUAUCUGAAGUUGGGACCGAUGAAGGAGUGGGUAUAGAAUGAUAAUGAAAAUAAAGUGAGUAUUACAACAUCAAAAAUUAAAAAAAAAAAAAAAGAAGAGGAACAAAAUAGAAAACAUUACAGAGGAAGGAGGCGAAGAUUCAGCAGCCUCUUCCGAUUUUUCUUCUGAUAUAGACGGCUCGGCAGGGCUUUCCGAUUGAGUCUUACUUGGGAAAGGAGCUACAAAUGAAAAAUAAGUAAGUAGCAGUAAUCAUAAGUAGAAAAUUAAUUUCAAAAGAGAUAACAUACUGAGAGGGUGACGAGUCUUGCGAUGUGCAUGCGAGAUAACAGGAGCAAAUGUUUUCUUGAGGAAGAUCUCCCAAUUUACAGAGCGAAAACCUAACACUCCGGUAUAAUUCGGCCUGAAGCUGACCAAUUUGAAAAAUCGCCGUAGACGGUUUCCCAUAGCCGAAAUCUGAUCGGCGUCAGUGAUACUCUUGGUUGGCGGGUGAUGAGUGGCAGUAUUAGCCGUGAAAAACUUGGCCGGAGCAGGAACGGCCUGUGUAAAGCCGAAUUGGCGCGCCACAAACUGUGGAGAGUAAACCUCGGUACUGGGCAAUAAGUUCGAGCGCGAUUUCAAGCCGAUGUACAAGUCCCGAGGAGCCAAAAAAGAAUACCAAACAUCAAAGUACUCGCCAGCACGAGAAGAGGCGAGUUCCCCUUGAAGUGAUUCAUAUCUUGCGAAAAAUCAAAGGGGGCCAGUGACUCGAUCAGCAAAAGGGGACCAAUAAAUAAGAAAGUGAGGGCUCGAAUCAUAAAAAACGGAAAAUAAGUGAGGAAGUCUAGAGGAUGCCCAAGUGUAAACGGUGGAGGACAGCCGAGAGCAAGUCCAUAGGAGUCAAAAUGAGCAGUCGAGGUCAAAUCUAAAGGUUCUCGGCACAGCCUACUGAAAUAAAUUUGCAAAAACAUUUGCAAAAACAAAAAACCGUCGCAACCCGAGCCAAUGGUGACACCAUCACCAGUGGGUGACAGCCUAAUGGAAUCAAAAAUUUUCCUGUAAACAAAAGCAAGAAAAUAGGGCCCCAGGGCCAAUUUAUCGCCGUUACAUAAACCAAUGGCGAUAGAAACAAAAUCUCGGUUAAUUUUCUGCGAACGAGUGUAGAAAAGAUUAUGACAUAACCAGUACAGAAGGAAUGCCGUAUGUUCCUUCUUAGUGACUGGAGCAGGGGAUUCACCUGCAAAUUUACGGAGAAAUUUGGAGUAGGCCAAAUCAUUGAGAUCAAGAUUGGCCUCAAAAUCAGAUACUCCAUAAGGGUUAUAAGCCAUGGAAAGGGUGACACCAUGAGGGCGUAGGCCAACAAUGGCGGCGACAUCAAAAAGAGUUGGGGUGAGAGGACCGCCUCUAAAAAGAAAAAUGUUCGAAACAGGGGACCAGAAACAAAGGGCGGAAGCCAAAAGAAGAAAAAUCAGCUAUAGGAGGUUUUCGGGAUAACUGAAUGGCUUCAUAGAUACCAGUUUCUCGCCAUAAAUCGCCAUAUGUGGCUUGCACACGAUCCAGCCAAGCCAAGUAGGCGUCUGAAAUACUAGGCCAGGUUCGAAGACUUCUUUCCAUCGAAGCCGAAGGAUACCAUAAAUGAAGAUGGAUAUUUUCAGCCAUCAACGGAAGACCUUCAUUAGAAAACGGGAAGUCAUCAGCAGAUGGGUCUUCGGUAAAAGAUGGACCCAAGAUAAACCUAACAGGGUCUGAAUCAAGAUAUGGUCGAAGCAAAGUAUAGUCCAAUGAGGGACGAGUAGGCAAUGGCGGAAGAGGUGCCAUUCUUUGAAACGAAGAAAGGUGAAGAAGACAAACAGAGGCGAAGAAGAGUUUUUGUCAAAGAAAACAAAAAUAGAUGAAAGGGAUAGAAGAGACAAAAAGAAUGGGAAGCUUGGAGAAGAAGAAAAGGUCAUCGUAUAGAAUUGUCGCGUCAAAGCGAGUUUCGAGGUUGGCUAUAAUGGUGAAUAGAUGGCGGUAAUUAAAAUGACUUAAUUAAUGCCGCAGAUAAGACAAAAUGAGGAUAAAGAUUGGGCCGUAAGAAAGAAAAUAGACGGCUAAGGUUAAACUGUACAAAGGGUCACGCCUCAAAUUACGUCUGGUAUUAGUACAGAGAUUUUGAAUGUGAUUGGACCGAGAACGACGCCUCGGAUCGCGCUUGUUAUCAAAGCAAUUACAGGAUUUCGGCAGCGAAAAAGGGGACGGCUGAGAUGCAACCAUCGUGUUUCAGUGUUUCAGAUCACGCCAGCUACCGAAGAGUUACUUCGAAAGCUGCUAAUACUCCAAAAAAAAGGGUAUUCGCCCCUGCGCACAAAAGACCAUCUUUAUUUUCCUGCAAUCUUUCUUCCUCGCAUUUACCGCUUUUUUUCUAGGAGUAGUUCUUGUAACUUAGAUAUUUGGAGUCUAUCUGCCCUUCGGGCAUCACUCCCUUGAAGAAUACACUUAGAGUCUGUCUGCCCCACGGGCAUCACUCAUCUGUUCUUAUACUUUUUCAUUUUCUAUUCAAUAGAAAGUCACGUUCGGCUAUUCAGGCCGACCAAAUUUCGUGUUGUACUAGCCAUUCGGCUCAUCUCCCGGCUUAACUUCCGACUUUCCCCGCAUAUUCGGCUCAUCCAGCCAAACCGGAGAGUAAAAAGAGUUUUCGAACCCGGCUGACCCGAUCCCUCGUCAGCCGAAUCGCCUGAUCUGUCGAAUGGCGCAAACUUCGAGGGCCAUUAUUUGCAGCCGUUUCGCAUCUCGACGCGCUCCGAGAGGAGGAUCGUUGACUAGGUCCAGGGUCGGGGAAUUUCGGCUCCAACACAUUGUAACAAAGAAGGAUGUAUCCUGAACAGUAUAGCUUAAAGGGUAUAUAAAGGAAAGAGAGAAAUUGUAAUAAUAAUUUGAUUGUAUUUGGAAAGAAAAAAUAAUAUGUAAUUUGAAUGAGACGAAUGCUUGUAAUAGCAUAGAUGAUUCAUGUUUAUGAUGCUUUUCUUAUACAAUAUGUGUAUGAAUUAUAUUCCUAUUUGGAAUGUUUUGAAUUGUACCGAUUAUGGUGCCUUGGACGGAUAGGAAAAACUUUGUUAAUUCGGCGGGUCUGGUGCACGCACCCGUGCAGGGCUUUUUCCACUUAUUUGGGGAAUGGACGGUGGGCAUGACAGAGUAGUUGGCUACUAUUGAUAUAAUAGCAGUAGCUUGUAAAUUUAAAUUGUGUAAUUUGUUGGCGCUGACACAACACCUUCAUGACAUUGACACGGCAUCUCGAUGUCUCUAAUAGUCGAGAAUUAAUUAUAAUGAAAUCAAAAGAUUAAGAACUCGAUUGCAAAAAAAAAAAAAAAGAAAAAAAAGAAAAUGGAAAUCAAAUUAAAAAUAUACCGCAAAGGAAUAAAUGGUGUAAUUAACCCUUGUAAAAUAAUGAGGAAAAAGAAAAAUCAGAUCCGAGUAAAAAUUGGACUUUUUUAUAAACUAACCCUAUAGAACUUUAAAAUUGGUUAAAUGACUCUUGCAAAAUAAUAUUUGUAAAACUAACCCUCUUCUUGCCACGUAGGCGCAUAGGUGAAAUUUUUUUAUAAAAGCGGUAAAUCGUUCACCGUUUUCAGUAGUAAUAAAUUUUUUAUAAAAGCAGUGAAUCGUUCACCGCCUUCAGUACUAAUGUAAUUACCAAAGACGGUGAAUGGUUCACCAUAUUUUGCUUAUUUAAUAUUUUUUCUAUCUCCUAUGUAUAAUCUUAACAACCACAUAAAAAUUAUAAUAAAUCACAUAUAAUCUUAACAACAUGAAAAUCCUAAUAAUCUAUCCAUACAAUUCUAAUAUAAAAAUUACAACAAAUCAUAUAUAAUCUUAAUAACCUGAAAAUCCUAAUAAUUUAUCCAUACAAUUCUAACAAUCAAAUAAAGAUUUCAUAUGAAAAAUCUCACCUCUUUCUCUUUUCCAUAUAAUCCACGUAUAAUCCUAAAGACCUCAUUUUUUUUUUAUUUUUCAUCUAACAACCUCACUUUUUUCUAUUUUCCAUAUAACCGACGUACAGGUACAGAAAAAUAUAAGGUUGUUAGAUGGAAGAUAGAAAAAAAAAAAGAGAUUUUUAGAAUCAUAUAUGAAUUAUUAGAAUUUUUAUUUGAUUGUUAGGAUUAUAUGGAUAGAUUAUUAGGAUAUUUAGGUUGUUAAAAUCAUAUGUGAUUUGUUAUAAUUUUUAUUUGGUUGUUAAGAUUAUAUACGAGAUAUAGGAAAAAAUAUUAAAUGAGUAAAAGACGGUGAACCAUUCACCGUCUUUACUAAUUAUAUUGACGGUGAGAAGGCGGAAAGCGGAUUCACCGCCUUCACAACAAAAUUUUUUUCUUUGCCUGUAGUAUCCUUAUUUAUUAUUAUUAUUAUUAUUAUUAUUAUUAUUAUUUUAUUUUUAUUUGGUAUAAGAUAGAUUUGCCUUUGGGGGAUAUGGAUGCCACGUGCAUCAAUUUCCUUCCCCCUCUCCCAUGCAUACCUAUCAACUUAAGUACAGAGGGUGUGCAUGCACUUCAUUAAUUAAUUCUCUCUUUCGUUUCGGCCAAAGCAACGACGAGCUCGGGGAGUUGCCGCGUGCCGAUUUCGACACCAACGACGUGCCGCGGAGCCGUUCGAGGGUACGGUUGCAGUCGUAGCGUCGCAGGGAGCUUAGGCGAGGGUGUGUUUUCGCCGUUCUCGAUGUCGCCCCGCGUUGGAUUUAGCAUACGAGGUGGGUUUAUCAUCGGAUUUCUACUCCUAUAGCCUCGUUAGUCAACAUGUAUAGUUAGGAUAUCUGCGUUGGUACUGUUUAGCUCAGAUUCAUGUUUAUUUGUUCUAGGCCUAUAUAUUGAAUUGGGAGCAUCUUACUGUUUGUUAUUAAUUAUACAUGUUGGACUUGGAUAAAACAUAGGAGAAAACCAGUGUUCGAAACCUGUCAUAUGUUAAACUACCUGAUUUAGCCUUAGGGGCCGUUGUUCUUUUAUACAGUUGUAGUGUUCUUGUGGUGAGUACCCCAGGUAGUCUAAUUUACUGUUACACUCGUGCUGGGAUGCCGAGUCUAUUUUUACAGUAGUGUUUAGACUGUUCCGGACUAGUGGGUGCCGUCGCGGUUGACGGUGGAUCCGAAUUUGGUCAUUUUGAGAUCCGAUUGUGCCGAGGGCACGUGACUAGUGGUUAGUAGUCAAUUGGACUUAUUUUCUUGACUUUAGCCUGUAAGAGCCUGAUUGAGCUCGACAGAGAUACGCUUGCAAACUCGGUUGGGUCGCGCCCACGAGUUGCCGCUCCGGAGUCUGGCUUUGUACUUUCGCGUUGAUGUUGCUAUUUUGUUUUGCUAUCCACGGACUGCUUAGUGUGGAGGUAGCGCGGUUUAGAUCACAGGCGGGACGGGUGCGUACACAGUCCCUAUUGAGAUUGGGUCAGAAUUGAUAAUAGACACAGUUGAAUAGUGUAGUGGCAUGUAGCUGUAGAUUGCUUUUCAGCUUUACCUACUAAUUUCGUUUCCUAUUGUAGUCUUAGUGGGUGAGUCGAUGAUUUUGAGGGCGGUACCCACUGAGGACUACUUGUUUUUACAGUAGUUCUCACGCCCAGUUGUUACUUUGUGUUUUGCAGAGCCUGCUGUUCCGGCUGCUGCGUCUUCUGAGGCUGAUCGAGGCAAGGGUGUCGCGAACUAGAGCCCUACCCGACGAGUUGCUGAGAUAGAGGAGGACCAGCUGUAGGUAGUCCUGGUUUACUUUUGAGCUUUUGUACAUACUGAUGCUAGAUCUCGCUGGAGCGAGUACUUUUGUACUUAGUUAUCUUGUAUGUAUAUGAGAUUUGUUCGUUCUACCUGCUUAGUAUCUUUACAGCUCUAUACUACUGGUUGUAGUAUCGUAUGUUCUACGGUUACCGUUACGCUUCGUAUACAGGGAAAUUCUUUGUAUACGGCGGAUUUGUCUGCGUGCUCGAAAAAUGGGUAAUCCGGGACGUGAUAGAUUAAGUUGGUAUCAGAGCUUAGCAUUAGGUCGUUGGGACCUAGAAAACCUAAGUUUGAUAAACCUUAGGAAGGCAAGACGCGAGAGGCGUAAUUUAUUGCGAAAGUCAAUGAUUAAUUGUUCUAACUCCUCCUAGAGUGGGGUGAGUGAUUGAAGGAGUGCCUGUUUUGGCCUGAGAAAUUAUGUUUGUUGCAGACAACAUAAUUUUGGAGGAAAACAUGGACUGCCUUCCAGACUUUCGUUUAUUGGGUCGAGAGUGCUUAUGUUUAUCUGACCCUGCUUUUUUUUUUUUGCAGCUAUGUAUCAUCGUCGAGGCCGACCGUCGACACGGGACCGGGCACAGUUGGCACAGGAUCAUGUGGGACCUUCUUAGAUGCCUAAGCAGGCGGAGCCGAGUGCCCGGCAAGAGCAGGGUGUUCGACCGGAGGCGAGUGCAUCCUCGGGCUUGACUGCACAGUUGGCCGCCCUGACCGAGGUGACGAGGCGGCAGGGGGAGUUGUUGGAGAGGAUGUGUGAGAGGCUAGCUUCGCCCCAGAGUUCAGCACCGAGGGUACCAGAGUCGUCUGUUCCACCUCCGACUACCCCAGUGACAGCACCAGCUGCAGCAGUCCCUCCGCCAACAGCAGUUUCAGUAGCGCCAGUUGCGCCUGCUAAGAGGCCAGUACAGUUGACAGAGGCCGAGCAGGAGCGGUGGACGGAGAGGUUGGCUUGUUUCCGCCAUUUUGAUCCACCAAUUUUCGAUGAUAGUUGCACUGAGGCCUGGGUUUUUGAGGGAUGGGUCAGUGCGAUGGAGAAGUUAUUUGAGAAUCUGUUCAUUCCUGAGGGGGAGCAGGUGUCUUUGGGAGUCCAUUGCUUGGCAGGUGAUGCCCACGCCUAGUGGAGGAGAGUGAGGAGAGAGCAGGGACUGGUGGCGUUGCAGUUGAGAUGGGAUGAGUUCUGUGGAAUACUGUUUGGGAUGUUCUUUCCCAACAGUGUGAAACAGAAGCUCGAUGAGGAUUUGAAGAAGAUCCAGCAGGGGGAUCGUCCACUGCAGGAGUAUAUUCGGGAGUUUACUCGACUCCUGAACUACGUGCCAUUUGUGGCCAAGGACAAGGCACACAGGGUUUAUCUGUUUGAGCAGGGGCUGAGACCCGACAUCUUCAGGUUGGCGCGGACGCAGAGGUCGAGGACUCUGGAUGCGGCUAUAGAGCAGGCUUUAUGGGUGGAGAGAGGUGAGGUAUCACUGCAGGAGAGGACUCAGGCCGUGGGGCAGAGUCGGGACAGGAGCGCCCCUUUUCAGAUUAUGCUAGACAAUCAAGCAGCCGGCGUCCGCCGAGACCUCCACGAUCGCGUUCUCAGAGUCGUGGAUUCUCGGGGCGUCAGCGUUCUGGGGGACCUCGGCAGUAGAGGCAGUCACAGGGGUUACCAUCAUGCGUGAUAUGUGGGGGACCACACUGGGCCCGGCAGUGCGAGCAACAUGAGGGUCGGUGUUUUGGAUGUGGACAGCCAGGGCACAUGAGGUCAGCUUGUCCCCGAGCAGUAUCACCAGCGCCAUCGACCGCUUCAGCAUCAUCAGCACCUCAGCAGUCUUUUGGAGCACCGCAGAGCUACUGCCAGGAGGACAGGGCAUUUGCGCCACGUCAGGGUGAGCGGCGACAGCGGGCUCCGAGUGGCAGGGUCUAUGCAGCCCAUGUGGAGGACUCUAUAGCGGCCGACCAAGUGGUGGCAGGUAUCACUUUGAUUUCUGGCAUUAGAGUUCGUACUCUCUUUGAUACCGGUGCAUCUAAUUCGUUUAUUAGCCGAGCAUUUGCAUUAUUGCAUGGUCUAGAGUUAGGAGCCUUGUCUCAGGCACGAGAUGUGCAGAUCCCAGACCAUGUUUUAUAGGUUGCGUAGUGUUGUUGGUCAUGUCCAGUGCAGUUAGACUCGUGGAUCAUGCCUGCAGACCUGUUGGUGUUAGGGCAGCUGCAGGACUUCGACGUCGUGUUCGGUAUGGAUUGGCUGGCGCGGUACUAUGCUACUAUCGAUUGUGAAGCGAGGACAGUGACGUUCUGCAAGCCAGGCCAGGAGGAGUUUACUUUUAGAGGCUGCAGGAGUACACUGUUUGCCACUUGGAUAUCUUCGGCGAGGGCUCGACAGCUGAUGAGUAGAGGAUGUGUUGUCUUUCUAGCGACUGUUGUUGAGGUAUCUACGGCGGCGCCGGGACUCGAGGAUAUUCCUGUAGUCCGCGAGUUUCCAGAUGUGUUUCCCCUGAGUUGAUGACGAUGCCGCCGGAGAGGGAGAUUGAGUUUGUGAUUGAUGUAGUUCCUGGAACUGCACCAAUCUCAAAGAUACCUUAUCGGAUGGCACCAGCGGAGCUGAGAGAGCUAAAGGCGUAGCUUCAGGAUCUGAUGGAUAAGGAGUAUGUGAGACCCAGUGUAUCGCCUUGGGGAGCGCCGAUAUUAUUUGUAAAGAAAAAGGAUGGGUUGCUCAGGUUGUGCGUAGAUUACCGGGGGCUGAAUAAAGUGACCAUCAAGAACAAGUAUCCACUGUCGCGCAUUGAAGAUUUGUUUGAUCAGUUGCAGGGAUCCUUCGUCUUCUCGAAGAUUGAUCUUCAGUCCGGUUACCACCAGCUGAGGGUGAAGGCCGAGGAUGUUUCCAAAACGGCUUUUCGGACUCGGUACGGGCAUUAUGAGUUUACGGUCAUGCCUUUUGGAUUGACGAAUGCCCCUGCCGCAUUCAUGGAUUUGAUGAACAGGGUGUUCAAGCCGUUCUUGGAUAGAUUUGUGGUAGUCUUCAUUGAUGAUAUUCUGAUUUGUUAGGUCCUAUGUGUUGGCAAGUUUUGUGGGUCGAGUUGGAGUCUUGAAGAAGUCCGGAGCGGAGUAUUGAAGAUCGAAGAAUCCAAGACUUCGAAGAAUCGGAAAGGACGCAAAACACGUAAAACAUGAAUCACGAUGCUUAGGUAAGCUUUAAAUCAUGUUUAUGGUGAUUCAUACUUAAUUAUAGAUUUUAGAAUCAUGUUUUCAAGUUGUAAUUGAUUAGAAAGUUUCUAAGAGCUUGUAUAACUCGAAACAAUGCAUUUUCAGAGAAAAUUGCAUUAUUGUACCGGUACAAGGGUUUUUUGUCCAGGGUACAGACAUCAGCGUUUGCGCAGAAGUGUUUGAUGGUUGUUCCGGUACAACCAUCACGGCUGUACCGGUACAAGCCCUGUUCCGGAACAAGCUGCAACCUGUUCAGGGUACAGAAGCUUCGCAGAAAAAUCUUCCGUCAUGCUGUACCCUGGACAGCUUUCCUUGUUCCGGUACAAGGUGCUGAUUUUGGAAAGAAACUUUCUAAUCCUACUCUGUUUUGAUUCUAAAGUCUAUAAAUAAGCUAUAGGGGUUCUCUAAUUGAUUAAGCAUCACGAAAAUACAUAUUUGAGAAACCCUAGAGGCUCGGAUUUCAUCAAAAACCUAUUUUCUACAAAAAGCCUCUUUUAGAUCAAAUCGAGAUAUUGAAAUUUGAUAUUAAUAUGUCGAUUUGAUCUCCGCUUCGCUUGGAGUUCUAUUCCCUGGUUUUCUACAAUACUCCAAAGCGAAGGAUCACCAUAUUCAUGAUAUUCUUCAUGGUGGCGUCGUGGAUUCGGCGUAUUUGACGGCGGUUCGUGGAUUCGGAUCGUGGGCUCGUGGAUUCGAGUGGCGUCGUGGAUUCGGCGUGAUUGAAGCUUCGUGGAUUCGAAGUGGAGGCGUUCGUGGAUUCGAACGUGAGGGCGUGGACAACCCGGAGGGUAGCGCGAAGAUUCAUAGGAGGUUAAGAGAGGUUGAGUCCGUGGAGUCGGUAAUCACCUUGUAAUCUUUUCUCUUAGUGAAUUAUUUUUUCGCGUGUUGGUCCCGUGGGUUUUUCUCCAAGUUGGAGUUUUCCCACGUAAAUCUCGGUGUGCUUUUUAUUUUCCGCAUUUAUUUUUAUUGCAUCGAGAUUUGUGGUUUUUGGCCGUUCACCUAUUCACCCCCCUCUAGGUGAUAGAUACAAUCUAGAUAGAUCCUUGGGCUCCUCAAAACUUUCAAUUGGUAUCAGAGCGGGAUCUAGAUAAAUUGUUUUCUAAUGGCCGAAGGCGGUAACGUUAAUCGACCACCACUCUUCGAUGGCACGAAUUAUGCCUAUUGGAAAGUUCGCAUGAGAGCUUUUCUAAUUGCAAUCGAUGAGCGUGUUUGGAAAGCUAUUGAAUUUGGUUGGGAGCACCCUACCGAAGUUGUCAAUAACGCUACCGUUCCUAAACCACGGAACAAGUGGACAAAAGAUGAAAACGAGUCAUCUUCGUUUAACGGUAAAGGAAUUAAUGCUUUAUUCAACGCUUUAUCGCAAACGGAGUUUACUCGGGUUUCGGCAUGCGAAACGGCAAAGGAAAUUUGGGAUACUCUACAAGUUACGCAUGAAGGAACAAGCUUAGUAAAGGUCCAAAAAUUGCAAAUGCUAACUAGCAAGUUUGAUUCAAUUUCUAUGGACGAAAAUGAGACCUUUACCGAGUACUAUACGCGUCUACAAGACGUUGUGAAUACAUGUGCUAACUUGGGAGAGAAAAUCCCGGAUUCAAAGGUUAUUAGGAAAAUUCUUCGAACUCUUCCGGAACGCUUUCGGGCAAAGGUUGCCGCGAUCGAAACGGUUAAGCAUCCGGACGAGAUGAAAGUCGAAGAAUUAGUAGGCGCUUUACAAACGUAUGAGAUGACUUUUCCUACUAAUCCAUCUUCUUCCAAGUCUUUCUCUAAAAGUACAGGGGUUGCGUUGAAAUCGACAAAAGAGGAAGACGGAGACUCGGAUUCCGACGGAGAUGUUUCUCUUGCCGACUUCGAACAUCAACUUGCACUUCUAACGAAGAAGUUUCGUCGGAAUUUCCGAAAGAAGAACAACUCGGACAAGGCUUCAUCAUCUAAGCGACAAUCUUUUUCUAAAUCUUCUACAUCUAAAGAGAAGAAGCGUGCAAAGGCUUCGAAAGAAAAGGAUGAAUUUGAAGGCGAAAUCCGAUGUUUCAAGUGCAAAGGCUACGGUCACAUAGCUACGGAUUGUCCCUCAAAGAAAUCAUAUACUAAGAAGGCAAUGCAAGCAAAGACGUGGGAUGAUACAACUUCGAGUGAUUCAAGCUCGAGUAACGAAGAAAAGAAUGGAAACCUUGCCCUAUUUGCUACAUCUACCUUACCUUCGUCUAACGUUGUGUGUUUAUCCUCUAUUGCUACUAAUUCCAAUAUUUCUUUUUCUUCACAUGACUCUUCGAGCAACAAUGGCGAAAGUGAGGAGGAAUCAAACGACGACGACAUAGCGGAAGCGUAUAAUAAACUUCUCAUUGAAUCAAAGAAGAUGACUAAGUUGAAUAAGAAGUUGAGACGUCGUUUGUUGGAUCUUGAGGAGGAAAACAACAACGCAAAGACUUUGAAUGAGGCUCUUGAGGAAGAAAGGGAUUCAAGCUUGAAGAAUAAUUCGGACCUCUAAGAGAAGCUUAAUGAAGUGGAAUUAACGAUCAAAUCAUAUAAAUACAAGGUUGGAUUUUUGGAGCAACAAUUCAAGGAAUCGCACACAUCCAACAAGUCACUGACCAAUCAAGUUCGUCAACUUCAAUCCGACAUUCAACGAUUUUCUUCCGGAUCAAAGAAACUAGAUCAUAUGCUCGGAUUGGGUCAAAUGAACAAGCUUGGACUCGGAUAUGAACGCACAUACGUUGAGAAGGAUUCAAUAUCAACUUCUAAAGUCUCAACAACUUCGAAAGAGAAAGUGUGUCAUAAAUGUGGCAAGAAAGGACACAUUAAAAGGAAUUGCCCAAAUAAGGAAAAGAAGAAUCAAUCGGCAAUGUCUAAACCUCAAACGACAUCAUCUACAACUCGACUUCCCCCGCGGAAUCAUAAGAAAAAUCAAGUUAGUCGAGUACCUCAAAAGAACCGGACUUCUAAUGCACAACGCCAAGUUCAUGCAAACCGGGUGCAUAAGCCUCAACGACAAAUUCAACCAAAGCCUCAACCGAAGAAACCACCAACGGUCGAUCAUAAAUCUAAACAAACGGCACCAAACGUCGAAAAGCCAAGAAAACCAAAAAUCUGACAAGUUUGGAUCCGGAAAGGUGAUAUCUUUCCUUGCUCCUCGUCUUAGUCAUUUUUGAUCUUUAGUGUAAUGCUUUGAUUGGUGCUUGUUGCAUAAUUUUAUUCAUUGCAUUAUAUGUUUGAAUGAUUUUUGGUGCAUUAAAUUUUUGUUUAUUUAUAAAUCAUUUUGAGAAAAGAUGUUUAGGAAUUUAAAAUUUUCGAGAAAAGAGAUGAUUGAGAUCUAUGAUUUUGGAGAGAGAUGUAAUCACUUGACUACGCUUAUGUUUUUCUAGUAUGUUUUCUCUCUCUAUUUGCGUUCUUUUAGCAAUUUUUGACAAAAAGGGGGAGAGCGUAGAUGAAGGGGGAGAGCAUGGAUGAACAGGCAUUGAACUAAAGCAGAGGAUGAUGUGUUCAAGACCAAAGGGGGAGAUGUGAACAAAGACAGAGAAGGUAUAAGAAUUUAGUGCUAAUCAUCUUUGAAUGAAUUGUUUUGCAGGAAAUCAAGACUUCAAGACUCCUAGUUGCGUCUAAGUCAUAGAGUUUGUUUUAGGAGUUUUUGAUGUAAUUUUGAUUCUCAAUUUGUAUUUGGACUACAUGCGAGGGGUUCGAUGUUUUGGUGAUGACAUUGAACUUCGUUUUUUCUUUAAAUUAUAAUUUGUGAGUUUGUGUGUGUUUUGUCACAAAAUUGCCAAAGGGGGAGAUUGUUAGGUCCUAUAUGUUGGCAAGUUUUGUGGGUCGAGUCGGAGUCUUAAAGAAGUUCGGAGCGGAGUAUUGAAGAUCGAAGAAUCCAAGACUUCGAAGAAUCGGAAAGGACGCAAAACACGUAAAACAUGAAUCACGAUGCUUAGGUAAGCUUUAAAUCAUGUUUAUGGUGAUUCAUACUUAAUUAUAGAUUUUAGAAUCAUGUUUUCAAGUUGUAAUUGAUUAGAAAGUUUCUAAGAGCUUGUAUAACUCGAAACAAUGCAUUUUCAGAGAAAAUUGCAUUGUUGUACCGGUACAAGGGUUUUCUGUCCAGGGUACAGACAUCAGCGUUUGUGCAAAAAUGUUUGAUGGUUGUUCCGGUACAACCAUCACGGCUGUACCGGUACAAGCCCUGUUCCGGAACAAGCUGCAACCUGUUCAGGGUACAGAAGCUUCGCAGAAAAAUCUUCCGUCAUGCUGUACCCUGGACAGCUUUCCUUGUUCCGGUAUAAGGUGUUGUUUUUGGAAAGAAACUUUCUAAUCCUACUCCGUUUUGAUUCUAAAGUCUAUAAAUAAGCUAUAGGGGUUCUCUAACUGAUUAAGCUUGAUAAGAAUACAUGUUUGAGAAACCCUAGAGGCUCGGAUUUCAUUCUAAACCUAUUUCUACAAAUUAGCCUCUUUAGAUCAAAUCGAGAUAACGUUUCGCAUUCGCUAUAUGUCGAUUUGAUCUAGUUUUCGCUUGGAGUUUUCUUCCUUGGUUUUCUACGAUACUCCUAAGCGAAGGAUCACCAUAAUCAUGAUGCUCUUCAUGAACGGCGUCGUGGAUUCGGCGUGAACAAAGGCGGUUCGUGGAUUCGGAUCGUUGGCUCGUGGAUUCGAGUGGCGUCGUGGAUUCGGCGUGAUUGAAGCUUCGUGGAUUCGAAGUGGAGGCGUUCGUGGAUUCGAACGUGAGGGCGUGGACAACCCGGAGGGUAGCGCGAAGAUUCAUAGGAGGUUAAGAGAGGUUGAGUCCGUGGAGUCGGUAAUCACCUUGUAAUCUUUUCUCUUAGUGAAUUAUUUUUUCGCGUGUUGGUCCCGUGGGUUUUUCUCCAAGUUGGAGUUUUCCCACGUAAAUCUCGGUGUGCUUUUUAUUUUCCGCAUUUAUUUUUAUUGCAUCGAGAUUUGUGGUUUUUGGCCGUUCACCUAUUCACCCCCCUCUAGGUGAUAGAUACAAUCUAGAUAGAUCCUUGGGCUCCUCAAAACUUUCAUGAUUUACUCCCGUAGUGAUGUUGAGCAUGAGAAGCACUUGAGGAUUGUGCUACAGCUUCAGCGAGAGAAGAAGCUGUAUGCCAAGUUAAAGAAGUGCGAGUUUUGGUUGCGGGAAGUUGCUUUCUUGGGCCACGUGAUUUCUGCAGAGGGAGCAGCAGUAGAUCCGAAGAAGAUUGAUGCUAUUCGGGAUUUGCCCAGACCAACGACGGUGACUGAGUUGCGGAGUUUUCUCGGACUAGCAGGAUAUUACCAUCAGUUUGUGAAGGGCUUUGCGAAGCUUUCCACACCCCUUACCAGGUUGAAACGGAAGGGGAUUCGAUUUGUUUGGUGUGAGGACUGCCAGAGGAGGUUCGACGAGUUGAGACAGAGAUUGAUGACAGCUCCUAUCCUUGCCCUUCCUGUGAUGGGGGAAGGAUUUGUGAUCUAUAGUGAUGCAUCGCACAACGGACUGGGUUGUGUGUUGAUGCAGCAUGGUAAGGUGAUUGCUUAUGCGUCACGGCAGUAAAAGGAUUAUGAGAAGAAUUACCCUACUCAUGAUUUGGAGCUUGCCGCAGUAGUCUUUGCUUUGAAGUUGUGGCGACAUUACUUGUACGGCGAGCACUGCGAGGUUUUCACCGAUCACAAAAGUCUCAAGUAUCUGUUCACUCAAAAGGAAUUGAAUCUGAGGCAGCGCCGGUGGUUGGAGUUACUGAAAGACUAUGAUAUUAGUAUUCAAUAUCAUCCUGGUAGGGCGAAUGUAGUGGCAGAUGCGUUGAGCAGGAGGGCAGCGCAGAGCUUGAGCUUGUUGAUCACUCAGCAGAGACCGCUACUUGAGGAGCUACAGCGGCUGAAGCUUCAGGUGGUGUCCCCUGGGUCUACUGCAAGACUGAUGUCUCUGGUCUUGCAGCCCACUCUGUUGGAUAGGAUCCGGGAGAAACAGAGUGGAGAUCCGUACUUGUUGAGGAUUAGAGAGCAGCUAGACAGGGGGCAGGCUGAGGGAUUUGCCUUGGACAGUUCGGGAGUACUGCGGUACAAGGACCGACUGUGUGUGCCUGUAGAUUUAGAGAUUCGAGAGGACAUCUUGAGGGAGGCUCAUUGUACACCUUAUACGGUUCAUCCUGGGGGAACCAAGAUGUAUAAGGAUUUGAAUGCACAGUUUUGGUGGAAUGGGAUGAAGAGGGACAUUGGCAGAUUUGUAGCUCAGUGUCUCACUUGUCAACAGGUAAAGGUCGAGCGUCAGGUACCUGCUGGCAAGCUUCAGAGUCUGCCAGUGCCCGAGUGGAAAUGGGAGUAUAUCACUAUGGACUUCGUUGUGGGAUUGCCUAGAGCGCAGGGUGGCUACGAUGUGAUUUGAGUGAUAGUGGACAGACUGACCAAGUCUGCUCACUUCUUACCGGUUCAGAUCACCCGGUCCAAAGAAAGACUCGCGCAGUUUUAUUUGGAUGAGAUCGUCAGACUACAUGGUGUGCCAGUAUUGAUUGUAUCAGACCGAGACCCGAGGUUUGUGUCGCAUUUAUGGAGGAGUUUACAGACAGCUUUGGGGACUCAGUUAUAUUUCAGCACAGCAUUUCACCCACAGACGGAUGGUUAGUCGGAGCGGACCAUUCAGACUCUAGAGGACAUGUUGAGGGCGCGUGUCCUGAACUUCGGAGGAGGGUGGUAUCGACACUUGAGACUGGCAAAGUUUGCGUAUAACAACAGCUAUCAAACAAGCAUUCAGAUGGCUCCAUUUGAGGCGUUGUAUGGACGCAGGUGUCGAUCCCCGUUGUUUUGGAGUAAUGUGGGUGAGAAGAAGACACUUGGGCCUAAGAUUUUGCUAGAGGCUGAGAAAAAGGUGAGAGUUGUUCGACGACACCUUUUAACAGCCCAAAGCCGCCAGAGGAGCUACGCCGAUACCAGGAGACGAGAUUUGGAGUUCCAGGUUGGAGAUCAUGUUUUUCUUAAAGUCUCGCCGUCCAAAGGGAUUCGCCGAUUUGGAGUGCGUGGAAAGCUCAGUUCACGUUUCGUUGGCCCUUUUGAGAUAUUGGAGCUAGUUGGACCAAUUGCCUCAGGAUUGCUCUAUCACCCUGACUAGCUGGGAUUCAUAAUGUGUUCCACGUCUCGGCGCUGAGGAGAUAUGUUUUCGAUCCAGCUCAUGUGAUUGACUUUACUCUACUAGAGAUUGGCGAGAAUCUGAGAUACGAGGAGUGACCGAUGCGGAUUCUUGCUCGUGAGACGAAAGAAUUGCGCAACCAGGUCAUCUCGUAUGUGAAAGUGCAGUGGAGCAACCACGAGGAGUAAGAGGCGACUUGGGAGCCCGAGAUGUGAUGAGGGAGUCCUACCCCGACCUGUUUGUUUCUCCGUGUUGAGGUAUGUUUUAAGUUUUGAGGACGAAACUUUUUGUAGUGGAGGAGGAUGUAGUAUCCUUAUUUUUUAUUAUUAUUAUUAUUAUUAUUAUUAUUAUUAUUAUUUUAUUUUUAUUUGGUAUAAAAUAGAUUUGCCUUUGGGGGAUAUGGAUGCCACGUGCAUCAAUUUCCUUCCCCCUCUCCCAUGCAUACCUAUCAACUUAAGUACAGAGGGUGUGCAUGCACUUCAUCAAUUAAUUCUCUCUUUCGUUUCGGCCGAAGCAACGACGAGCUCGGGGAGUUGCCGCGAGCCGAUUUCGACACCAACGACGCGCCGCGGAGCCGUUCGAGGGUACGGUUGCAGUCGUAGCGUCGCAGGGAGUUUAGGCGAGGGCGUGUUUUCGCCGUUCUCGACGUCGCCCCGCGUUGGAUUUAGCAUACGAGGUGGGUUUAUCAUCGGAUUUCUACUCCUAUAACCUUGUUAGUCAACAUGUAUAGUUAGGAUAUCUGCGUUGGUACUGUUUAGCUCAGAUUUAUGUUUAUGCAUUGUUUUAGGCCUAUAUAUUGAAUUGUGAGCAUGUUACUGUUUGUUAUUAAUUAUACAUAUUGGACUUGGAUAAAAUAUAGGAGAAAAUCAGUGUUCGGAACCUGUCAUAUGUUAAACUACCUGAUUUAGCCUUAGGGGCCGUUGUUCUUUUAUACAGUUGUAGUGUUCUUGUGGUGAGUAUCUCAGGUAGUCUAAUUUACUGUUAUACUCGUGCUGGGAUGCCGAAUCUAUUUUUACAGUAGUGUUUAGACUGUUCCGGACUAGUGGGUGCCGUCGCGGUUGACGGUGGACCCGAAUUUGGUCAUUUUGAGAUCCGAUUAUGCCGAGGGCACGUGACUAGUGGUUAGUAGUCAAUUGGACUUAUUUUUUUGACUUUAGUCUGUGAGAGUCUGAUUGAGCUCGAUAGAGAUACGCUUGCAUACUUGGUUGGGUCGCACCUACGAGUUGCCGCUUCGGAGUCUGGUUUUGUACUUUCGCGUUGAUGUCGCUAUUUUGUUUUGCUAUCCACGGACUGCUUAGUGUGGAGGUAGCGCGAUUUAGAUCACAGGCGGGACGGGUGCAUACACAGUUCCUAUUGAGAUUGGGUCAGAAUUAAUAAUAGACACAGUUGAAUAGUGUAGUGGCAUAUAGCUGUAGAUUGCUUUUCAGCUUUACCUACUAAUUUCGUUUCCUAUUGUAGUCUUAGUGGGUGAGUCGAUGAUUUUGAGGGCGGUACCCACUGAGGACUACUUGUUUUUACAGUAGUUCUCACGCCCAGUUGUUACUUUGUGUUUUGCAGAGCCUGCUGUUCCGGCUGUUACGUCUUCUGAGGCUGAUCGAGGCAAGGGCGUCGCGAAUUAGAGCACUACCCGACGAGUUGCUGAGAUAGAGGAGGACCAGCUAUAGGUAGUACUGAUUUACUUUUGAGCUUUUGUACAUACUGAUGUUAGAUUUCGCUGGAGCGAGUACUUUUGUACUUAGUUAUCUUGUAUGUAUAUGAGAUUUGUUCGUUCUACCUGCUUAGUUUUUUUACAGCUCUAUACUACUUGUUGUAGUAUCGUAUGUUCUAUAAUUACCGUUACGCUUCGUAUAUAGAAAUUUUUUUUUAUAUAUGACUGAUUUGUCGGCGUACUCGAAAAAUGAUAAUCCAGGACGUGACACUGCCUAUACGAUGAAAGGAGGAUUAGUUUUAUAAAUAUAAUUUGGAGAGAGUUAUUUAACAAAUUUUAAAAUUCU
rnacentral:lncRNA from 1 species